UACGUAGGGGGCAAGCGUUGUCCGGAUUUAUUGGGCGUAAAGAGCUCGUAGGCGGACUGUUGCGUCCGCUGUGAAAAGCUGGGGCUUAACCCUGGCCUUGCAGUGGAUACGGGCAGACUAGAGGUAGGUAGGGGAGAAUGGAAUUCCCGGUGUAGCGGUGAAAUGCGCAGAUAUCGGGAGGAAUACCGGUGGCGAAGGCGGUUCUCUGGGCCUUACCUGACGCUGAGGAGCGAAAGCGUGGGGAGCGAACAGG
rnacentral:rRNA from 1 species